CCUACGGGAGGCAGCAGUGAGGAAUAUUGGUCAAUGGACGAGAGUCUGAACCAGCCAAGUAGCGUGAAGGAUGACUGCCCUAUGGGUUGUAAACUUCUUUUAUAUGGGAAUAAAAUGUUCCACGUGUGGGAUUUUGUAUGUACCAUAUGAAUAAGGAUCGGCUAACUCCGUGCCAGCAGCCGCGGUAAUACGGAGGAUCCGAGCGUUAUCCGGAUUUAUUGGGUUUAAAGGGAGCGUAGGUGGAUUGUUAAGUCAGUUGUGAAAGUUUGCGGCUCAACCGUAAAAUUGCAGUUGAAACUGGGAAUCUUUAGGACAGUAGAGGUGGUCGGAAUUCGUGGUGUAGCGGUGAAAUGCUUAGAUAUCACGAAGAACUCCGAUUGCGAAGGCAGUUCACUGGACUGCAACUGACACUGAGGCUCGAAAGUGUGGGUAUCAAACAGGAUUAGAUACCCGUGUAGUC
rnacentral:rRNA from 1 species